UGGCCCUGGGCACAUACUUGU
rnacentral:misc_RNA from 1 species